CAUUUACGAUGGGUGUAAAUUUUUGACGAACCGUCUGGAUUACUAUCGCGGCUAGGAUGAUAAAGUAUGAUAACCUUAUAUACUGCAUGGUGUCCGUGUUAUCUAUAAUACGUUAGUUCCUUGUUGUUUUUUUUUCACGAAAAAUGGGUUAAUGAAUUUGUAUUGAAAGAUGAAUGCCAAGAUUUGUUUUUUCGGUUUAAUUGAAAGUUUCUAGGAGCUAAAGGAUCAAUUGACAGACGUUGAAUUUCACUUUGGAAUUAAUGUUAUUCAAUAUUAUUGAAGUAGGUAAAACUCAUUAUUUUCUUCGGAAAAUGCACGUAAACCUAAAAUAAAUCAACACGAAGUAUUAUGAUCUCUUUGCCUUGAUAGUAGGCAACUUCUUCAACGUGUAAGAUGAAUCGUAGGCAUAACCUAAUCUACUCAUAAUAGCAGUUUUGUAAAAACACUUUAAUUUCAUUAAAUUAAAAAUGUAGAAACAAUCAAGUUUUCGAUUAUUUUGUCUCAUAAACCAAUAAUUUGAUGUCACUAAUAGGUUUAUUGAACCUGAGGUUUAUUUUAAUUAAUAUUUCGUAAUUAAUCCCAAAACCGUAAUUCUAUUCCAAAAACCACUAAUUCGUCAUAAAGUAGUCUCAUUAGGUUGAAAUUGAUCAUGGAAAUGGAUUCCUCGUAUCCGAAAACCCAACACUACAUACUUCACUCACCUCAACAGCUUUCGUGAAGCUCAAAAAACGAGCUUCGAAAUUCUUACCUAUCUCUCUAUUAGGAACAUAGAACCUCCUAAUAUCAUAUAUUCUCCUAGUGAAAAUAGCUGUUUUCGUGUCGGAUUUUGACGGAUUUGAAUCAUUUGUCGUGUUGCGUUAGACGUUACCUAUCUUCGGUUUGAAAAGGGGAAAUUUGUCGAUUUACAUUUUAAAAUUGUAGUUUUUUUUAUUCUAUUCGAACUGAAAAUCAAUUCGAGAAGUCGAUUGUUGAUGAAGAGAACUAAUUUAUCAAUAUUAUAUUUUUUGAUGAGGUUUUUAGAGUGAGGCAUUCAGAGUUCGGACCAGAACAAUGCAAAUUCGACAUAUUUUUUAUUUCUCAACGCUACGACCUGAAGCUAAGAAAUCGAUUUGACUUUUUUAUCGAUUAUCGAAAAUUUGAUAUCGUGGAUUUCAAAUUGAUUGAUCACUCGUGUUGUUGUGUGAGGUGUGUAGAGUGUGGGUAUUUGGUUAUAAGAAGUUGAAAUUUGGAAACAUUUUAUAUUUCCUUGAUACUAAAUACGGAGAAAAUGGUUGAUUUUCGCCUCAAGUGUUAUUUUUUCGUCAAAAAUAUUCAUCCAUCGAGAUAAAAUAAUUAUUGAUAAUUUCAACAACUUUUUGAAAUUUCAUUUCAUUUCUUUGCAAAAAGUCAGCUUUCAAAAUCAAUUCCUUCAGCAACCUUUCACAACACCACGAACACAAAAAUCGCAAAUCGUUAUAAAAUUUAUUGUCCUUUAAAAAAUAACAACAAUUUACAAUACUUGUACUAACACGGACAUGGUCAUUAUGACUUCUAAAUAGGUAACAAACCGCACGUAAAUUUUUUAAAUAAAUAACACUAAGUAAACAUUAAACAAUUACAUGGCUUGCUGUAAAAAUUAAGUACACAUUAAUCACAAGCUAUUUUUCUUAUUUUUGUUCUAGCUUUUUCAAACAAGUAAUAAUUUUUUUACACUAUAAGUAUAAGUAUAAUAUAAAAAAACACACGAACAUAUAUCACAUUUGUAAACAUUUCUCAUUAUAAAUUAGAACACACUUAGAAACAUUUUGAUACAAAAAAAAAAUAUUACAUCGCUUAAGUAGUAUAGAAUAUAACUUUAUACGACACACGAAUGAGCUAAGCGUAUCUUU